UACGGAGGGUGCAAGCGUUAUCCGGAUUCACUGGGUUUAAAGGGUGCGUAGGUGGUUUUGUAAGUCAGUGGUGAAAGCCCGGAGCUUAACUCCGGAACUGCCAUUGAUACUGCUUAACUUGAAUCAACUUGAGGUGGAUGGAAUAUUACAUGUAGCGGUGAAAUGCUUAGAUAUGUAAUAGAAUACCGAUUGCGAAGGCAGUUCACUAAGGUUGUAUUGACACUGAGGCACGAAAGCGUGGGGAUCAAACAGG
rnacentral:rRNA from 1 species